rnacentral:rRNA from 1 species
UGGGGAAUAUUGGACAAUGGGCGAAAGCCUGAUCCAGCCAUGCCGCGUGUGUGAAGAAGGUCUUCGGAUUGUAAAGCACUUUAAGUUGGGAGGAAGGGCAGUAAGCGAAUACCUUGCUGUUUUGACGUUACCGACAGAAUAAGCACCGGCUAACUCUGUGCCAGCAGCCGCGGUAAUACAGAGGGUGCAAGCGUUAAUCGGAAUUACUGGGCGUAAAGCGCGCGUAGGUGGUUCGUUAAGUUGAAUGUGAAAGCCCCGGGCUCAACCUGGGAACUGCAUCCAAAACUGGCGAGCUAGGGUAGGGCAGAGGGUGGUGGGAUUUCCUGUGUAGCGGUGAAAUGCGUAGAUAUAGGAAGGAACACCAGUGGCGAAGGAGACCACCUGGGCUCAUACUGACACUGAGGUGCGAAAGCGUGGGGAGCAAACAGG